rnacentral:rRNA from 1 species
UACGAAGGGGGCUAGCGUUGUUCGGAGUUACUGGGCGUAAAGGGCGCGUAGGCGGCGCGGAAAGUCGUCGGUGAAAGCUCGGGGCUCAACCCUGAGUCUGCCGGUGAUACUCCCGCGCUCGAGCUCACUAGAGGCAGAUGGAAUUCCGGGUGUAGCGGUGGAAUGCGUAGAGAUCCGGAAGAACACCGGUGGCGAAGGCGGUCUGCUGGGGUGAGGCGUGACGCUGAUGCGCGACAGCGUGGGGAG